GACAGAGGUGCCAAGCGUUAGGCGGAAUCACUGGGCUUAAAGCGUGUGUAGGCGGAUCGUUAAGUACCUUGUGAAAUCCCACGGCUCAACCGUGGAACUGCUGGGUAUACUGGCGGUCUUGAGCAACCUAGGGGCGAGCGGAACAAAUGGUGGAGCGGUGAAAUGCGUAGAUAUCAUUUGGAACGCCAAUGGUGAAAACAGCUCGCUGGGGGUUUGCUGACGCUGAGACACGAAAGCCAGGGGAGCAAACGGG
rnacentral:rRNA from 1 species